rnacentral:rRNA from 1 species
AGUGAACGCCGGCGGUAGGCCUAACACAUGCAAGUCGAACGGCAGCACAGUAAGAGCUUGCUCUUACGGGUGGCGAGUGGCGGACGGGUGAGGAAUACAUCGGAAUCUACUUUUUCGUGGGAGAUAACGUAGGGAAACUUACGCUAAUACCGAAUACGACCUACGGGUGAAAGCAGGGGAUCUUCGGACCUUGCGCGAUUGAAUGAGCCGAUGUCGGAUUAGCUAGUUGGCGGGGUAAAGGCCCACCAAGGCGACGAUCCGUAGCUGGUCUGAGAGGAUGAUCAGCCACACUGGAACUGAGACACGGUCCAGACUCCUACGGGAGGCAGCAGUGGGGAAUAUUGGACAAUGGGCGCAAGCCUGAUCCAGCCAUACCGCGUGGGUGAAGAAGGCCUUCGGGUUGUAAAGCCCUUUUGUUGGGAAAGAAAAGCAGCAGGUUAAUACCCCGCUGUUCUGACGGUACCCAAAGAAUAAGCACCGGCUAACUUCGUG